CUAAAUUUGAGGGUAUUGUGCAGCAAAAUAUACGUGCUGCAAAGCAUAGUUUCUUAAUUCCUUGAUUCAUUCCCUGAUGCCAACUCCCUUAGUUAUCUCACUUAUCUUAUCAGUGAGGUAUGGGCUCUUUGCGCGAUUUUGCUCUCCUGCAAGGUAAUUCCUGUGCCGAUGUAAACGUUCCGCUUCUCAUUUAUUUCGAUCCGGAUGGGACGUUUGACUACAAUGACUUGAUCCACAGCAUUGUUUCUUUAUUCUAUACUAGUUUAAUUAGUGCAUGAAUGUAGCUUUUAGGAAGGCGAAAAUUAUUUAAUCAGGAUAUCUUAUAGCAAAAUAUAUAAUUA